rnacentral:rRNA from 1 species
GUAAGGAAUAUUGGUCAAUGGGCGGAAGCCUGAACCAGCCAUGCCGCGUGCAGGACGACGGCCCUACGGGUUGUAAACUGCUUUUGCCCGGGAAUAACCCCCCGCUCUUGAGCGGGGCUGAACGUACCGGGAGAAUAAGGAUCGGCUAACUCCGUGCCAGCAGCCGCGGUAAUACGGAGGAUCCGAGCGUUAUCCGGAUUUAUUGGGUUUAAAGGGUGCGUAGGCGGCCUGUUAAGUCAGGGGUGAAAUACGGCAGCUCAACUGUCGCAGUGCCCUUGAUACUGACGGGCUUGAAUACCGGUGAAGGCGGCGGAAUGAGACAAGUAGCGGUGAAAUGCAUAGAUAUGUCUCAGAACCCCGAUUGCGAAGGCAGCUGCCUAACCGGCGAUUGACGCUGAUGCACGAAAGCGUGGGGAUCGAACAGGAUUAGAUACCCUAGUAGUCC